rfam:Cronobacter sp. DJ34 Bact_A5_10, whole genome shotgun sequence.
CCCCGUACACCGUGCGGGGCCCUUCUUUAGCCUAUGCAAUAAGGGGAUUGCUCGUG